rnacentral:rRNA from 1 species
UGAGGAAUAUUGGGCAAUGCCCGCAAGGGUGACCCAGCAACGCCGCGUGGAGGAUGAAUGUCGUAAGAUUGUAAACUCCUGUUAGAGGGGAAGAAUAGUACCGGUUGGACCGGUAUAUGACUGUACCCUCAGAGAAAGCCCCGGCUAACUACGUGCCAGCAGCCGCGGUAAUACGUAGGGGGCAAGCGUUGUCCGGCUUUACUGGGUGUAAAGGGCGCGCAGGCGGGAUAAAAAGUCAGUGGUGAAAUCCUACAGCUUAACUGUAGAACUGCCUUUGAUACUUUUAUCCUUGAGUUCGGGAGAGAGAGACGGAAUUCCAGGUGUAGUGGUGAAAUACGUAGAUAUCUGGAAGAACACCAGUUGCGAAGGCGGUCUCUUGGUCCGACACUGACGCUGAGGCGCGAAAGCGUGGGGAGCAAACA